rnacentral:rRNA from 1 species
UACGUAGGGUGCAAGCGUUGUCCGGAAUUAUUGGGCGUAAAGAGCUCGUAGGCGGCUUGUCACGUCUGCUGUGAAAACUCGGGGCUCAACCCCGAGCCUGCAGUGGAUACGGGCUAGCUAGAGUGCGGUAGGGGAGACUGGAAUUCCUGGUGUAGCGGUGAAAUGCGCAGAUAUCAGGAGGAACACCGGUGGCGAAGGCGGGUCUCUGGGCCUUACCUGACGCUGAGGAGCGAAAGCGUGGGGAGCGAACAGG